UACGGGGGGGGCAAGCGUUGUUCGGAAUUACUGGGCGUAAAGGGCUCGUAGGUGGCCAACUAAGUCAGACGUGAAAUCCCUCGGCUUAACCGGGGAACUGCGUCUGAUACUGGAUGGCUUGAGUUUGGGAGAGGGACGCGGAAUUCCAGGUGUAGCGGUGAAAUGCGUAGAUAUCCGGAGGAACACCGGUGGCGAAGGCGGCGUCCUGGACCAACACUGACACUGAGGAGCGAAAGCCAGGGGAGCAAACGGG
rnacentral:rRNA from 1 species